CUCUUGCUAAAAGGCAUUUAAUGAGCUGUAAAAAGACCUAUCUACCCUUAUUAAAGGUGCGCAGGAGGGGGAGACAAGCAAUAAAUGAGGGGUAUAGGUUGUCCAGCCCACCUUGUAGCAAGUUUUAGCAACAAAAACUUGCUAAAGUGCUAAACUUUAGCAACUCAACUUUAGCAAGUUUUAGCAAGAAUGUUUGGCAGUUUAGUAACUAAAAGUUACUAAAUUUUAGCAACUAAAGUUUAACCAGGUGUAACCAACACCCUGAAAAAAAGAGCCAACCGUCCGGUCUCCACUCCCCAGUGGAAACCCCAACAGCCGAUGCGGCGAUGCCCGAUGCCGAUAACUUCGCGGCUAUGCGCCACGCCUUUCGCGCAAGCGGUGGUAGCUUUCAGCUCGGCUGGCCCUCGACGCGUAUGUGGUGUGCACGCCACGAGCCGUGCAGCAUCGCAGAUCACCCGGAGAGUGCUUGCCAGAGGGAGCUCGCAAAAGACUUUGGUCCUGCGCGAAUACGGCCGCGGAGACGUUGACUUCGGCGUAUGAAAACUGUUGGUGGGGCGCCUUCAACUCCAACCUCACCCGCCGAGCUUUUCUUUUUGCGCCAAACAGAAAGCGGUUGCGCUUACGCUGGCAUGGCAUCGUCUGUACGCGGUUUCAAGCGUCAGUAGCCCAACUGUACACACCACCGGUGCAUAUUCCUACUCCAAGGAAAUUCGCUGGAGCGCUCCCGUACGUGCCCUUUUGUUUGCGUGGUAAGCGAAGGCUCCGCGAGCUCCAUGGAUCAGCUUGGGAUGCGAUGUAUUCAGAGUUGGCUUAAGUUUCCUCUGUUUCUGUUCAUGAUUGAAUGUUCUAUUCUUGCAGGUUGGCGGCAGCAUGCAUCGGCAUUCAAGUGCCCAUGAGAUGAGCCCCAGCCGGUCCAAUUAAUCAGUAGAGCAUUGAUUGGCAGAUGAGAUCCUAGCAGCGCUGGC
rnacentral:lncRNA from 1 species